AAAAUUGAAAAACCAGUACUUAUGUUAGGAUAGACAUCCUUAUAUUUUGUUCAAACUUACUUUGCUGAUUGAUCAGCUGCAGUUGAAAUAUUUUGUUGUUUCAGAAGUAGAGUUGGUUGUUUGGAUUAAUAUGGUACUUAGAUUGCUAACAAUUUUAUUUUCAUAAUAAAAGAAAGAUGAACUAAACGCGUUGUUCACUUAUUUGGAUGCAGAUUUGCUGCUUAUGAUUAUGUGAUUAUCUGUUCAAGCGCUUAUGGUACUGCAAUAUGGUGUAGAUUGCUUCGUUUCUUUCGCAGCGGGUGCAUCACAAAGCAACCUUCCAUUACAUAUAUUUGGAACCGGGAUCACGACACUGAUACAUACUUUAUAUCAGAGUUGAUUGGGUAUAAUACAGAAGCUUUCUUGAUUAAAUGGUCUCGGAAUCAUGGAUAUUCAUUCAUACUUCCUCCUGACCCAUACAUGCAUAAUCUUCGCAAGGGAUAAUCCGAGGAGUAUCUUUCCAAGUAUCUAAUCAAAUAAAGAGAUAACUUCCGUUUGUCGGUUAAACCGACCUCAAUUACCAGAAUAUGAGUUUCAGUCCAACCUAACGGUUGCAAGUUAUUUUGUGGAAUGGGUCACUUUGUUUUAAGUCGGGUUAGUUUUUAACAUUUAAUUGUGUACAUAAUUUUUAAGUAGAUUGUAGAUCAUUUGAAUUACGUUUUGGAUUUGAUAAGCUUCUCAUGAAGCCAUGAAAGUGGACAAAAUAUGAGAGUGAUAUCUCAUGGACCAAGGCCUAGAAUUGCUAGAAGCGAUCAAGCAGUAACAGCCAAUUUUAGUAACCAGUGUACAAGAUGCUAAUUUGUUACUA